UACGGGGGGGGCAAGCGUUGUUCGGAAUUACUGGGCGUAAAGGGCUCGUAGGCGGCCAACUAAGUCAUACGUGAAAUCCCCAGGCUCAACCUGGGAACUGCGUCUGAUACUGGUUGGCUUGAAUCCGGGAGAGGGAUGCAGAAUUCCAGGUGUAGCGGUGAAAUGCGUAGAUAUUGGGAAGAACACCAGUGGCGAAGGCGGCUCUCUGGUCCGAUACUGACGCUGAGGUGCGAAAGCGUGGGGAGCAAACAGG
rnacentral:rRNA from 1 species